CUCUUUUCCUACAAGACGCUAUGCCCAUCAUGACAGAGGUUAUCAGUCAAGACACAGCAUCAGUUCUGUCCCUCUGCAACACCUGAAACUAAAGAUUAAGAACAAAACUACUCAUAGCAGAGCCCACCUACUUGAAAGCCUCACCCACCAGCUGGUGACUGAGCUUUGGGAAUUCCAACACACCGAGGCGGGUGAAGACAACUGACCUCAUUCCAUGACCACAGCU